rnacentral:rRNA from 2 species
GGGAAACACCCCUCCCCUGAGGCGGUCUAUAAUGCAGUCGAGCGGAUCUUUGGGACUUUGCUUCCCAAAGAUUAGCGGCGGACGGGUGAGUAACACGUGGGCAACCUGCCUGUAAGACUGGGAUAACUCCGGGAAACCGGGGCUAAUACCGGAUAAUUCAUUUCCUCUCAUGAGGGAAUGCUGAAAGACGGUUUCGGCUGUCACUUACAGAUGGGCCCGCGGCGCAUUAGCUAGUUGGUGAGGUAACGGCUCACCAAGGCAACGAUGCGUAGCCGACCUGAGAGGGUGAUCGGCCACACUGGGACUGAGACACGGCCCAGACUCCUACGGGAGGCAGCAGUAGGGAAUCUUCCGCAAUGGACGAAAGUCUGACGGAGCAACGCCGCGUGAGCGAUGAAGGCCUUCGGGUCGUAAAGCUCUGUUGUUAGGGAAGAACAAGUAUCGGAGUAACUGCCGGUACCUUGACGGUACCUAACCAGAAAGCCACGGCUAACUACGUGCCAGCAGCCGCGGUAAUACGUAGGUGGCAAGCGUUGUCCGGAAUUAUUGGGCGUAAAGCGCGCGCAGGUGGUUCCUUAAGUCUGAUGUGAAAGCCCACGGCUCAACCGUGGAGGGUCAUUGGAAACUGGGGAACUUGAGUGCAGAAGAGGAAAGUGGAAUUCCACGUGUAGCGGUGAAAUGCGUAGAGAUGUGGAGGAACACCAGUGGCGAAGGCGACUUUCUGGUCUGUAACUGACACUGAGGCGCGAAAGCGUGCGGAGCGAACAGGAUUAGAUACCCUGGUAGUCCACGCCGUAAACGAUGAGUGCUAAGUGUUAGAGGGUUUCCGCCCUUUAGUGCUGCAGCAAACGCAUUAAGCACUCCGCCUGGGGAGUACGGCCGCAAGGCUGAAACUCAAAGGAAUUGACGGGGCCCGCACAAGCGGUGGAGCAUGUGGUUUAAUUCGAAGCAACGCGAGAACCUUACCAGGUCUUGACAUCCUCUGACAACUCUAGAGACAGGAGCGUUCCCCUUCAGA